AUCCAAAUCAAUUCAGUUCAAGUGUAUUUAUAUCGUGCCAAACCACUGACAAUAAAACUGUCUCCAAUUCCAGAGCCCAGGGCUUGAACCCCCCCUGGAGGGAGGAUGGACCCAGCGCCAGUGCACAUCAACCCACCGUGAACGUGAACAAGCUCCGAGGAGACCCCUGGUGUGGCCCCCGGAGUGGGAUUGUGAGGGAGGACUUCUCGAAAGCUCCAGGACAAAAGUUUCAUCGAAAGACACGCGAUUGUGGCACUGGUGACAGGGUGCUCUAUGAUGAAGGGAAUUUUGCAGUGAGAGAGAGAGAGAGAGAGAGAGAGAGAGAGAGAGAGAGUGUGGUGGGCUCUGUUCAAAAGGAAUAAUACACAUGUACAGUAUACUCAGUUUUGUCGAAAAUAACGAACAGGAGGCCUUCAUCCUCUGAGGGGUCUUUUAUUUUGAAAGAGUGGGUCACUGUGGAAAAAAAUGAAGAAAGGACCAAAACAUAUCUUGAAAGGAAAAUGAUAACACUGAACUUCCUGGAAUCACUGGACGAUCUUAGCAGGAGAACCAGGGCAGCCUGAUCUGACUGGAUGUUUCUGAGAAGCUGUCAUCACCUCGUUCUGUUUCAACUAUUUGUGAUCAGCCUGACCUUGAAUGGAGUCCAUUUUGUGGCCAGGAUGUGAAAUAGACGUUGAAGCCCAGUCCCAAAUCUGGGAUAUGUCCUUUAUCUCCUCCCACAGCAGAUUCAAGUGACUGAUGACAGUGACAUACUCAAAGGGAACUGCUUCUGUUACUAAAUAUAUAUGAGAUGUGUGUGUGGCUUUUGCACGGAGACCAUUUUUAUAAUGGAUCAAGGACUUCAUACAUGCGUCAAAAUCACUGUUGUAAUAUUUAAACAAAAAAAAACAACAAAAAAAAAAAAACUAAAAUCCUAGAUCUGUAAUGUACCCUGUGCACUAUAGGCUCCUGUUAACUAGAAUUAGUCAUGGCUACAGAACAUGUACAUACAGAACAGACAUAGCAAGAUCCAUAGUUACUAUGGGGGUUGCCUCCAGUUUUGGUAAACUAAACUUUUAGCAUUAACUACUUGUGUUAUUAUUACAAAUCUGCAUGGACAGGGAACAGCGCUCUACCUUUGGAGGACAUUAGUAACAAUGAAUGAUGUUAAACGCCUCUUGUACUCUAUUAUCAAACAGCUUUCAAAUGAUUGGCUCCCGCUGAGGGCAUCCUCUGCAGCUCUGAUGUCUGAUCAGGUGGUCAGGUCUUGAUGCAUGAGAAGACACACACACUGGCAUCUUCAGUGUGGCCAAUCUAGUGGGCCGUUGUCCCACACCGUACUGAGCAUGUGCGAAAGGAAGUACAAUGUCAAAGCAUAGUUAGACCACAAGCAGCUGGUGAGAGACCACACAAAUCAGCUACAUGAAGAUUAUUUUGUUCUGUUUGUGUUAAAUGCUGUGUCGUCCUGUUUCGUGUAGGGUAAGACAGCAUGCUGUCCUGUUACGUGUAGGGUAAGACAGCAUGCUGUCCUGUUACGUGUAGGGUAAGACGGUUUGCUGCCCUGUUACGUGUAGGGUAAGACAGCGUGCUGUCCUGUUUCGUGUAGGGUGAGACAGCAUGCUGUCCUGUUACGUGUAGGGUGAGACAGCAUGCUGUCCUGUUAUGUGUAAAGUAAGACAGCAUGCUAUUGCCCCGCUCACAUAUGUGUCAAUGCAUUUUGACCAAACCUGGUGGAGUCACUUGGCUGAAAGCCCACAUCCUGUUAAUUGUUUUGACUAAAAGGCCAAAAUGGAUGUAAAUGAAGUUCGAUUAUAUGUACCCCCCGUUAGAGAUUUAAGUAGUCUGUUUGAUUUAGGUAAUCUGUUUUGGUAGUUUGUAAAUAACCAAAGGCAUUAAAAGAAUAUUUUUGUUGCAAAUGUCAAAACCUUUUAUAUAUUGUAAAUAUUUCCAAAAGCACCUAUAUACAAUGCAUAUGACCAUUUACAAAUGUCAAUAAAAAUACUUGUAGCAAAGUAGAAUGUUUCCGA
ensembl:lncRNA